rnacentral:lncRNA from 10 species
AAAGAAGAUGGAAACUAGAGCCACAUUUAUCUUGCUGUUGGAGUAAUAAGAUCUGGCAACCAUGAAGGGAACUGCAGGAGACUGCUGAUGACCCUGAGACCCCUUGUAGAACACAGGAAAGGUGUCACUGAUCCCCUUUCAGGUACCAGCAAUCCUGACCGUAUUAUACCUGAUCUGCUUCACUUUAAUCUGCCUCUGCUACAUUUGGAUUUUAAUAUCUGAUCUAAAAAGAAGGUUGUACUAUACACUGAAGAAGGGAAGUAAAUCCUGUGUGUCUUGAGCAAGAGACAAAGAAGAAUCAGAGUGGGAGCUGAAGCUGAAGUGAUUCAUCAUUCAUCAUCCUUCCCAAAAGUGGCUCUUCAGUCUUUUCCAUUCUAUCACCCAUAACUCCUCUUUAUUUCACUAAGGGCAUCUUUUCUUGCCAUGGGCCUCAAUCAAAACCAGAAGUCUUUCCAGUCACCUGGCAAAUGGCAAAAGCAGGAUACACAGCAAUGCCCCAGAUAGUCACUGCUGCACCAGGCUGGGUCCUGCAGUAAGGAUGAUGCAGAGCAGAACUGCCAACCAACCUGCAAUGGAUACGCAGUACAAGUGAGAAAUAAAUUCUUAAGUUUUAAGCCACUGACAUCAUGGAGUUAUUUUGUUACUACAGUGUAACCCAGCUCAUCCUGACUGAUAUGACUGUGAAUUCAACUGGUGAUUAAACACUGAGUUUAAAUCUUGGCUCUCUCAGUUCAGUAUGUACAAGAUAUAGGAGAUAUUUUCAACAACUUUACAUAAAGUCCCUACGUUU